CUGGGAAGGGCGUGUCCGUUUUCCAGAGAUUGUUUUGGGAUGGGUGACAAAGCACCCUGCGGGUGCUGGGACACACUGCCCUCAACCUGCUUCGGGGGGCGAAUCUCCGGGCUGAGAUCUGUACUCCUUGGGGAGAACAGCGAUGUGACCACAGCGCUGGUUCCAGUAAAGGUGAAAUGAUGCCAGGAGAGGGGGGGUGUCCCUGCUGUUCCUGUCUGCCCACUGCACACCAGAGCUGCUCUCUCCACGGGUGUAUGUAAAGACCCCAUGAAGCCGCCAGGAGAUGAGGAGGAAGCUUUGGUGCCACCUAGGGAAGGAAACCAUGGCAGCCCAGGCGAAAAAGCCACCUGAAUCAGAGGAGCAACCUGCAGCAUGGGACACAAAAUCCCCACUGCUGAGCUGAGCCCAAACUGACCAUCAGUGGAGACAAGUGUCCCUGGGAUCUCCAGAAUUCCUGCUCCAGUCCCAGGCAUUUCUCAGCAUUCUCUUCCACCUCUCCCAGGAGCUGUGCCUUUUCUCUGCAACCACUCCCAAACCUGGAGGAUGAAAAAGAAAGGAGAAAUUAAGAGCAGCCAGCAGCAGGGUGUACUUUAAGGGUCCUGUGUCAUCCAAAACCACUGGACACCUAAUUGCGGGAGACCAUGUUGGAGGCAAGGACAAAGCCCUGUAGCAUGUCAGGGAGAAGCCUCUUCCACUAGCUCUGGCUUUGAUGUGGGCAAUAGUUUGGUGCCCAUUACACAGGUGGGAGAAAGGCGCACAGGAGCGUUAUGGAUGAGCGUCGGCUGGGAAGAUGAACAGGAACAUCCUGUGAUGUGAUAAUCCACCUGGAUGGUGUGGAGUUCAGCACUCACAUGGACAUACUCUGUGCCUGUGGUCAGCACUUCAGGUCACUGUUUCACAUCAGGAGGUGGCUGUAAGCAUCGUUUCUGCAUCUGAUUCCUGCUUCCUCAGUGCAGCUCCAGCACUUGCCUGAGAGCUGAACCUUCUCCAGCAUUUCUCCUCAGUUCCGGUACCCGCCUGGACACAGAAGGACAAAGCAGUAUUUCUCCAUCUGUCACACACCCUUGGCAUAGCUCCAGGGCUUAUCAGGGAGCUGAAUUUUUUUCCUCAGCAUUUCUCCACAGUCCCAGUGGAUGUGAAAACUCUGGCAGUUGUGUCCUCCAGACCCUUGGAUCCAGUGCAGGGCUGGGAGCCUGGCCAGCCUGGUUUAUCUGCCACUGGGUGGGAGGUUUCUCCUUCCACACCCAGCCUUAUUCUGCGGUGGGCUCACCUGGAAUGAAGGUGGCUGACACUCCCUCUUUUCCUCCCCGUUUACCGUCAGAGGCCAGGACUCCUGUGGAAAACACCCAGCUAGUAAAACCAGGAAUAAAUCCAACUCUGCUUGGAGACAUCCUGGACACUGACAGAUGAUUGCUGCUGCCCUAAGCUGUGGUUGGAGGAUCUGAUGGAAUCAACCAGCUUUGGAGCAGGGAAGCAUCCAGCCUGGCUACAGAACCCACAGCGUGUUCAGUCCCCACCUUUGGCAUGGAAGUGGUGGAUGAUUUGGUAAAAGUUGAUGACUUUAAUGAACUUUUGCUACUCCUCUCAACACUGUUGUUACAAUGAGAAGACCAAAGCCUGCUGUGGUGUUCAGGGAA